UUCAGUCUGACUACUGGUCGUAAUUAAGUAGGUAGUCUGGCGGGGUUUACCUUUUAGGUCGGAUUUCCCCUCCUGGCCGUUAAAGAAAUAGAUCACCAUCACCCUUUGGAAUAGGUACCGGAAUAGUAUAAAAAAUUCAUGCGUGAAAGUGUUGACAUUUCUGAAUAAGUUUAUGAGCUAUUUUGCCUGCCGAAUUAACUACAGUAUAGUAUUGCUAUAGGCCCUUAGUAGCCCUCUGAAGAAAGUGCGUAACUUAAUUAUUAGUUUUAAAAUGUAUUUAAUAACUUUCGUAUCGAGAAAAAAAGAAAAAGGCGGACUUACAUUUUGUUCGACAUUCAACAGUUGAUAAACAGACGAGAGUUGCGAUAACACACGCGAUUGGGAACUUAUUGUAUAAAAUGUACAUUGCACUUGUUUGUCUUGUGGUCUUCACAACACUGCGCGUUACGCCGAUUACCAAAAUCCUUAAUCUCUCUCCUAGCAAAUCAUCUGCUUAAAGCGAUAUUUGGGGCAUCCUCAAGGACGCGCAAGUAAACAUUACGCCUCUUUUUUUGGGACUUUCCGGAUGGUUUAUAUGCCGUAGUUUUGUACAAAUAAGUACAUUUCUUAUUUUCUCGUUUAUUAAUUUAAUUUAUUUAAACGAUUAAAUUGUAAAAGGUAAAUUAUCCAAAAUACCUACCAGGAAUUAGAUAUACAAGCGCAGCUGUAUAAAUUUACGAUAUUUUCAUAGGUACAUGUAAAUAAUAAAUUUAAUUAAUUACGUAA